rnacentral:rRNA from 1 species
GAGUGGCGGACGGGUGAGUAACGCGUGGGUAACCUGCCUCAUACAGGGGGAUAACAGUUAGAAAUGGCUGCUAAUACCGCAUAAGCGCACGGUACCGCAUGGUACAGUGUGAAAAACUCCGGUGGUAUGAGAUGGACCCGCGUUGGAUUAGCUAGUUGGCAGGGUAACGGCCUACCAAGGCGACGAUCCAUAGCCGGCCUGAGAGGGUGGACGGCCACAUUGGGACUGAGACACGGCCCAGACUCCUACGGGAGGCAGCAGUGGGGAAUAUUGCACAAUGGGGGAAACCCUGAUGCAGCGACGCCGCGUGGAGGAAGAAGGUCUUCGGAAUUGUAAACUCCUGUUGUUGAGGAAGAUAAUGACGGUACUCAACAAGGAAGUGACGGCUAACUUAGGUGCCAGCCGCCGCGGGUAAAACGUAGGUCACAAGCGUUGUCCGGAAAUUACUGGGGGUAAAAGGGAGCGCCGGGCGGGAAGGACAAGUUGGAAAGUGAAAUCUAAUGGGCUCAACCCCAUAAACUGCUUUCAAAACUGUUUUUCUUGAGUAGUGCAGAGGUAGGCGGAAUUCCCGGUGUAGCGGUGGAAUGCGUAGAUAUCGGGAGGAACACCAGUGGCGAAGGCGGCCUACUGGGCACCAACUGACGCUGAGGCUCGAAAGUGUGGGUAGCAAACAGGAUUAGAUACCCUGGUAGUCCACACUGUAAACGAUGAUUACUAGGUGUUGGAGGAUUGACCCCUUCAGUGCCGCAGUUAACACAAUAAGUAAUCCACCUGGGGAGUACGACCGCAAGGUUGAAACUCAAAGGAAUUGACGGGGGCCCGCACAAGCAGUGGAGUAUGUGGUUUAAUUCGACGCAACGCGAAGAACCUUACCAAGUCUUGACAUCCUGCGACGCACAUAGAAAUAUGUGUUUCCUUCGGGACGCAGAGACAGGUGGUGCAUGGUUGUCGUCAGCUCGUGUCGUGAGAUGUUGGGUUAAGUCCCGCAACGAGCGCAACCCUUACUGUCAGUUACUACGCAAGAGGACUCUGGCAGGACUGCCGUUGACAAAUCGGAGGAAGGUGGGGAUGACGUCAAAUCAUCAUGCCCUUUAUGACUUGGGCUACACACGUACUACAAUGGCGUUAAACAAAGAGAAGCAAGACCGCGAGGUGGAGCAAAACUCAGAAACAACGUCCCAGUUCGGACUGCAGGCUGCAACUCGCCUGCACGAAGUCGGAAUUGCUAGUAAUCGUGGAUCAGCAUGCCACGGUGAAUACGUUCCCGGGCCUUGCACACACCGCCCGUCA